CUGCAUGGCUGUCGUCAGCUCGUGUCGGUGAGAUGUUGGGUUAAGUCCCGUAACGAGCGCAACCUUGUCCUUAGUUACCAGCACGUUAUGGUGGGCACUCUAAGGAGACUGCCGGUGACAAACCGGAGGAAGGUGGGGAUGACGUCAAGUCAUCAUGGCCCUUACGGCCUGGGCUACACACGUGCUACAAUGGUCGGUACAAAGGGUUGCCAAGCCGCGAGGUGGAGCUAAUCCCGGGAUAAAACCGAUCGUAGUCCGGAUCGCAGUCUGCAACUCGACUGCGUGAAGUCGGAAUCGCUAGUAAUCGUGAAUCAGAAUGUCACGGUGAAUACGUUCCCGGGCCUU
rnacentral:rRNA from 1 species